rnacentral:rRNA from 1 species
AGAGUUUGAUCCUGGCUCAGAAUCAACGCUGGCGGCGUGCCUAACACAUGCAAGUCGAACGAGAACGGUUCCUUCGGGAGCUUAGUAAAGUGGCGUACGGGUGAGUAACGCGUGGAUAAUCUGCCCUCAAGUGGGGGAUAACUCGGGGAAACCCGGGCUAAUACCGCAUAAGCCCUACGGGGGAAAAGUAUUUAUAUUGCUUGAGGAGGAGUCCGCGUCCGAUUAGCUGGUUGGUGAGGUAAGAGCUCACCAAGGCGACGAUUGGUAGCCGGUCUGAGAGGACGGACGGCCACACUGGAACUGAGACACGGUCCAGACUCCUACGGGAGGCAGCAGUGGGGAAUUUUGGGCAAUGGGGGAAACCCUGACCCAGCAACGCCGCGUGGAGGAAGAAGGUUUUCGGAUCGUAAACUCCUGUCCGGAGGGACGAAGCAAGUGACGGUACCUCUGGAGGAAGCCCCGGCUAACUCCGUGCCAGCAGCCGCGGUAAUACGGGGGGGGCAAGCGUUGUUCGGAAUUACUGGGCGUAAAGGGCGCGCAGGCGGUUUUCGUCAGUCAUGGGUGAAAAGCCCCGGGCUCAACCCGGGAAUGGCCUGUGAAACCACGGAACUGGAGUGCUGGAGAGGGAAGCGGAAUUCCCAGUGUAGCGGUGAAAUGCGUAGAUAUUGGGGGGAACAUCGGUGGCGAAGGCGGCUUCCUGGACAGACACUGACGCUGAGGCGCGAAAGCCAGGGGAGCGAACGGGAUUAGAUACCCCGGUAGUCCUGGCUGUAAACGAUGAAUACUUGUGUAGGGGGUAGGAAAGUCCCUCUGUGCCGUAGAGAACUCGAUAGUAUUCCGCCUGGGAGUACGGCCGCAAGGCUGAACUCAAGGAAUUGACGGGGCCCGCACAAGCGUGGAGCAUG